CAUAUUUGAAAGGAGCGUGCUUGAUAAGCAAUGUCUGCUUAUGAUGAAGGAGAAGAGGAAGGAGACCCAUAUGAGGACAUUACCGAGCCAAAAUCAGCUGCUGCUGAAUCACUCCUGCCUAAGGAACCUGAACCUGCUCCAAGCACCCCACAGCCACCAGCUGGUAGAAUGGACUGCUGCUGCCUUCUGUGGAGUAUCAUCUGGUUGGUGGUGCUGGUGGCUUUUGCUUGGCCCUUGAGUGUGGCUAUGGCAGCCCUUUAUGGAUUUGUAUCACCCAUGAUUACCCUAAUAGGACUUGAUGAUAUCAGUGAGUCUCUGCUACAAGCAGUACAUGUGGGACGAGAGUGUGCUCAGAACGUCAGAAUGGGCAGGCCUAUUGCUUGAAGAAAAGAUCUCGCAGCAUUAGGUGUCCCUUCCCUUUACCUGUAUCUUAUCACGAGUGCUGAUCUGUAAUUCUUCUUUUUCAACCAUCUAUAUUAAAAAGUUCUUAUUUCACUAUAAAUUUGGUUUCAUGAUAUUUUUACCUAUCCGCCAUUUUAGCCAUCGCCACUAUAUAAAUAAUCUAACCACUGCAACUUAAACUCUUGCAAAGACAUCAUCAGUUGAGAUGGGCAAUUUGCUUAUUGAUGCUUUAAUUGAUCAAUACCAAAGUGGAUUUUAGUGUGUGCAUAAGAGGACAUAUUUUACAAUACAUUAUAGUAUUGUGUGGACUGUGCCAAAAGCAACAAGAUUUGGCUCCACACUGGUAAAAGCGGAGGGUUAAUAUCUUUUUGUAGAACCAGCUUCUGUUGGAGACAUUGAGCAUAUCCACAUGGCAGAUUCUGGUAGGUUUGGUGCUGCUUGUGGAUGCAAGCUUUGUGCAGUGUCCAUGUGACAUUGUCAUCAUCAAAAUGCCAUCCUACAUUAUUUUCCCAUUUAAUCCAGAUUUACCAUUUCUGCAGAAAAUCCAGGAAGUGAGAAACACAAGAAGAGAACCUGCCAUUUUCAUGCCAACUAGUGAAACAUGUUUAAGUGGCAGGGGUGGGGAAGAAAUUAGAUUUAGUUUACAUUUUAAUAGAGAGCUUCCUAAUUCGUACUUCCUAAAGCAAUAAGCAAACCAAAACACAAUUAUCCCUCGAAGUUUGCGGUUGUCUGAAUUUGGGGGUGCAGUUCUUCAACCAAAUAAUGUCUAUACAAAUGUUAUAUUAGGGACAGUGUGUAUAGAAAUGCACAUAUUUUUGAAAGUGACAUUCAAAAAUGCAUUAUAUUUUGGGAAAUUGGUUGCAAAAACAUAUAUAUCAGGAAAAAUUGCACACAAAAAUGUGCAUAGCAGGAAGAAUUUGAACUAAAAUUGUGAAAAAAAUUAAUGAGGACUUUUAAUGAAGAAAAAUAAUUUGCCAGCUGACAUAGAAAUGUGGAGAACUGAGCUCAAAACUAGAAAAAGGAGACACUGAGAUUGACAGAUUUGUCCAUCCCUGGGAAAUAGUAAAGCCAGAUUAAAUGGGAAGGAAAUAUGGGAUGGCAUUUUGAUAGGGAUGGGUAUUGUGUGGACCCUGAGAAAAACUUCAUUGCUGGAGCAUUUUAAGAAAAAAAGAAAAGAAUGCUACAUGAUUUCAGUGUAGAAAUGUAUUUUAAAAUGCUUCUGACUGAAAUCUUUUUGUUUCUUUAUUAUGCCAGCCCAGCACCACCACCCACAACUCACUACUGCUGUCUUCUGUGGAGUAUCAUCUGGUUGGCUGUGUUGGUUUCUUUUGCUUGGCCCCUGAGUGUGGCUCUGGCAGCCCUUUAUGGAUUUGCAUCACCAAUGGUUACCCUGUUAGGAUUUGAUGAUGCCACUGGAUCUUUGCUGCAAGCAGUAAAUUUGGGAAGAGAGUGUGCUCAGAACAUCAGAACUGGCAAGCCCAUCAUUUGAAGAAAAGAUCUCACAGCAUUUUAGCAUUCCAUUCUUUCACAAGCAUCCUUUAUAUGUAUUUAGCACUAACAGUCCACCUGUAUCUCUUCUGUUGACCAUUCACAUUAAAAAGUACUUAAUUCAUUAUAAAAGUGGCGUUAUGAUAUUUUUACCUGACCCAUCCUUUUAGCUUUUGGCAUGUAAAUAUACUAACCAGUAUAACUUAAAAACUAGGACCCUACCCUGAAAGGUCUUCACAAGCACACAUGCCGGCUGUGAAGUGUAACUUGUUUACUGGUUGUUGGUGUUGCAAUUAACCAGUUCUAUUGCGCUUGAGUCCCCUUUAGUAAUUUAGAGACAAGGGUAAAUGUUGGUCCAAAUCCUGAAAAUUCAAUGUCCCUAAAUUGUACAAGUCCCCAGUUAUGGGGACUGGAAAGCCCUAUUUUGCCAAUCCAACUCACAAUUACAAAUGCAUGAUGCAAACACAUUUCCUGAUGCCUCUCAGGUGCAUCAUUGGUGCCCGAUCAGUACACCUCUCCAUGACUUUUAAGGAAACCACCUGCAGUGGAGAGUUUGCUUUAAGCACAAAAGCUCAUAGAAUCAUAGAAUUGUAGAGCUGGAAGGGACCUCGACGCCCAUGUACUCCAACCCCCUGCAAUGCAGGAGUCUCAACUAAGGCUCUUAGAUCCCUGGAAGCUUGUAAUCAUGCGAGGGGAAGUGCCUGAACUGGGCUAGAGAUUAUGCCAGUAUCUAGAAGAAUUUGUGCAUUCCUAUACUUUAUAGGGGGACCAUUUCAGGGAGAGAGACAUCCCUGUGUUCCAGACUGUGGGUCAAGCAUUGGCAAUCUGUUGCCCAUCCAGGUGUUAUUGGACUUCAACAGCCUUCAGCCCCAGCCAGUGUAGCCAAUGGUCAGAGAAGAAGGGAGUUGUAGUCCAGCAACAUCUGGAGGAUCACAGAUUCCCCAUCCCUGCCAUAACAACAAGUCAUCUUAAAAUACACCAUUUCCUCCUAUUUGAUCUUAUUUAUACAUGAGAGUAGACCCUUUUGAAUCAUGCUGUGAGUCUUUACUCUGCCUUCAGUCUUGAAAUAAUGUCCCAGAUGGCAAGGAUGAGAACUAGAGGCAGGGAAAAUCCAAGCCAGAUGUGGUGUCUCUUUGAAGUUGGUCUAACAAGAAAUUUAUUUAGAUAGAAGUUGUGGGUGUCUUGCAGAAGUGCAGUGAACUCCUAAC
ensembl:lncRNA